CUACGGGACGCUGCAGUGAGGAAUAUUGCGCAAUGGGCGAAAGCCUGACGCAGCGACGCCGCGUGGGGGAUGAAGGCCUUCGGGUUGUAAACUCCUUUUAGUCGGGAAGAAACCUCUGUAGUGAAUAGCUAUAGAGCUGACGGUACUGACUGAAUAAGCCACGGCUAACUCUGUGCCAGCAGCCGCGGUAAGACAGAGGUGGCGAGCGUUGUUCGGAUUUACUGGGCGUAAAGCGCGUGUAGGUGGCGAGGUAAGUCGGGUGUAAAAUCCCAUGGCUUAACCAUGGAACUGCAUUCGAUACUGUCUGGCUUGAGUGCAGGAGAGGAGGGCGGAAUUCCCGGUGUAGCAGUGAAAUGCGUAGAUAUCGGGAGGAACACCAGUGGCGAAGGCGGCCCUCUGGACUGUUACUGACGCUGAGACGCGAAAGCGUGGGGAGCAAACAGGAUUAGAUACCCGUGUAGUC
rnacentral:rRNA from 1 species